CCUACGGGUGGCAGCAGUGGGGAAUAUUGCGCAAUGGGCGAAAGCCUGACGCAGCGACGCCGCGUGAGGGAUGAAGGUCCUCGGAUCGUAAACCUCCGUUAGCAGGGAAGUACGGUCACUGUGCUAAUCAGCAGUGAAUUGACGGUAUCUGCAAAGGAAGCAUCGGCUAACUCCGUGCCAGCAGCCGCGGUAAUACGGUGGGUGCGUGCGUUAAUCGGAAUUACUGGGCGUAAAGGGGUCGUAGGCGGUAUGUCAAGUCAAGGGUGAAAUCCCCGGGCUCAACGGGGGAACUGCCUUUGAAACUGGCAGACUGGAGUGUGUGAGGGGAUAGUGGAAUUCCAGGUGUAGGAGUGAAAUCCGUAGAUAUCUGGAGGAACAUCAGUGGCGAAGGCGACUAUCUGGCACAUAACUGACGCUGAGGAGCGAAAGCGUGGGUAGCAAACAGGAUUAGAUACCCCUGUAGUC
rnacentral:rRNA from 1 species